AACCUCGCUGAUACCGGGGAUAUGGCGAACUUUACCUCUUAUAGCGAACCUAAAAUAAUCUUCAAUAUUAGUAAUACCAUAUAGAGUGAGAUAAUCAUAGUUGCAAUGAAUCAUGGGUAUAGUGUACCUUAGAUAUAAUGAACUAUGGCUAUAAUGAAUCAAGGCUAUAAUGAACCAUGGUUACAGUAAACCAUAGAUAUAAUGAACCAUGGCUAUAAAAAAUCAAGGCUAUAAUGAACCAUGGUUACAGUAAACCAUAGAUAUAAUGAACCAUGGAUAUAAUGAAUCAAGGCUAUAAUGAACCAUGGUUACAGUGAACCAUAGAUAUAAUGAACUAUGGCUAUAAUGAAUCAAGGCUAUAAUGAACCAUGGUUACAGUGAACCAUAGAUAUAAUGAACCAUGGCUAUAAUGAAUCAAGGCUAUAAUGAACCAUGGUUACAGUGAACCAUAGAUAUAAUGAACUAUGGCUAUAAUGAAUCAAGGCUAUAAUGAGCCAUGGUUACAGUGAACCAUAGAUAUAAUGAACUAUGGCUAUAAUGAAUCAAGGCUAUAAUGAACCAUGGUUACAGUGAACCAUAGAUAUAAUGAACCAUGGCUAUAAUGAACCAUGGUUACAGUGAACCAUAGAUAUAAUGAACUAUGGCUAUAAUGAAUCAAGGCUAUAAUGAACCAUGGUUACAGUAAACCAUAGAUAUAAUGAACCAUGGCUAUAAUGAAUCAAGGCUAUAAUGAACCAUGGUUACAGUGAACCAUAGAUAUAAUGAACUAUGGCUAUAAUGAAUCAAGGCUAUAAUGAACCAUGGUUACAGUAAACCAUAGAUAUAAUGAACUAUGGCUAUAAUGAAUCAAGGCUAUAAUGAACCAUGGUUACAGUGAACCAUAGAUAUAAUGAACUAUGGCUAUAAUGAAUCAAGGCUAUAAUGAGCCAUGGUUACAGUGAAUCAUAGCUAUAAUGAACUAUGGCUAUAAUGAAUCAAGGUUAUAAUGAGCCAUGGUUACAGUGAACCAUAGAUAUAAUGAACUAUGGCUAUAAUGAAUCAAGGCUAUAAUGAAACAUGGUUACAGUGAAUCAUAGCUAUAAUGAACUAUGGCUAUAAUAACCAUAGCUACAGUGAUUCAUAUAUAAUGAACCAUGGCUAUAAUGAACUAUGCCUACAGUGAAACCAUGGUUAUAGUAAACCAAAAGUCUAGUCUCAUUAAGGUUCGCUAUAGCGAGGCUUUACUGUAUUUCUAAAAUGAAGAAUUGAAGAAUUUAUGAACAUAACGAUAAGAUGGCUUAUCAAUUAUAUAGAAAUUAAUGUGCAGUGAGAUAUUGAGAUUGAAACUACUUUAUUUCAAUGUCCAUUAUAAGGUUAAAUACAUAAUAAAUAUAAAUAUGAAUAAAUAAGAUUAUAUAAUGAUAAAAUACAUGAGAGAGAGAGAGAGAGUGAAGUGAGAGAGAUAUGGACAUUUUAUGGAAAUUAUUUAAAACAAUGAUAGGUGUAAUUAAUUAGUACCUGUUUGUUGAGGAUUAAAUACCUUUUUGUAAAGUGAUGUUCACUAUAAUGUAAAACGAUUCAAUCAUUUUAUUUCAAAUACAAUAUAAAUAUUACAGGUAAACACACCGUAUAUUCAAACAUGCGUUAAGAAAUUGAUAUUCACAUUUUCGAGAUGUUAAGACCAUAUGUGACUAAUUUAUAUUCGUUUGUCAGGGAAUGAGACCUUUUUAAGAACUAAGGGCACAUUCGAUCAAGUUACAGGUCCUUAGUAAUUAAAAAUAAAAGAGUUAGACAAUCGUGAAUCCACCUUCUCCCAUUGUAAAGUUUGCUGACGCUAAUUUACAUUGGGAUUUAUUUGAGAAAGGUGUCUUCGAUGAUAUUAAUAUAUUUCGAGUUUAGGGGACAAUUGGCAAUUUGAAUAAAUGUAUUUCUGCAUGUAUGUCAGCACAAUUACACAAAAACAACAAUAUAAAAGGUGUAAAAGAAAAGAAUAAUUACAUAGCGAUAGUAUUUACUACCAGCUGGCAUCUCUCCACUGGAAGUCAUCAGUAAAACAUCAGUGGUCCUUCUGGUCGCAUGUUACUCUAAGAUUUGUCUUCGACAUUCGAAAUGAGAAAAAUAUAGCCACCUUAAUGCUGUUGUUCCUCCUAUCUCUCAGCAAUACGAUAUAGCCGCCAUGAUGCCCCUAUCAACUUCUGCGGGUUACAAAACGAUUGCACGAAUAAUCGGCAACUUUGGUCCGUUCCAGGUUCCAUGAGGAAAGAUAGAAGGCUGCACUAUACCUCCACAGCACUCUAGGUUACAAACUGUCGGGGUUUAUAAGAAUAAUGCUGUUGUUCCUCCUAUCUCUCAGCAAUACGAUAUAGCCGCCAUGAUGGCCCUAUCAACUUCCGAGGGUUACAAAACGAUUGCACGAAUAAUCGGCAACUUUGGUCCCUUCCAGGUUCCAUGAACAAAGAUAGAAGGCUGCACUAUACCUUCACAGUACUCUAAGUUACAAACUGUCGGGGUUUAUAAGAAUAAUGCUGUUGUUCAUCCUAUCUCUCAGCAAUACGAUAUAGCCGCCAUGAUGGCCCUACCAACUUCCGAGGGUUACAAAACGAUUGCACGAAUAAUCGGCAACUUUGGUCCCUUCCAGGUUCCAUGAACAAAGAUAGAAGGCUGCACUAUACCUUCACAGUACUCUAAGUUACAAACUGUCGGGGUUUAUAAGAAUAUGGUGUUGUUCCUCCUAUCUCUCAGCAAUACGAUAUAGCCGCCAUGAUGGCCCUAUCAACUUCCGAGGGUUACAAAACGAUUGCACGAAUAAUCGGCAACUUUGGUCCGUUCCAGGUUCCAUGAACAAAGAUAGAAGGCUGCACUAUACCUCCACAGCACUAUAAGUUACAAACUGUCGGGGUUUAUAAGAAUAUGGUGUUGUUCCUCCUAUCUCUCAGCAAUACGAUAUAGCCGCCAUGAUGGCCCUAUCAACUUCCGAGGGUUACAAAACGAUUGCACGAAUAAUCGGCAACUUUGGUCCGUUCCAGGUUCCAUGAACAAAGAUAGAAGGCUGCACUAUACCUGCCCAGUACUCUAAGCUACACACUGUCGGGGUUUAUAAGAAUAAUGCUGUUGUUCCUCCUAUCUCUCAGCAAUACGAUAUAGCCGCCAUGAUGGCCCUAUCAACUUCCGAGGGUUACAAAACGAUUGCACGAAUAAUUGGCAACUUUGGUCCCUUCCAGGUUCCAUGAACAAAGAUAGAAGGCUGCACAACACUCUAAGAUACACACUGUCGGGUUUUAUAAGAAUCAUUAUCCAAGAACAUUCAGAGACUUAUAAUGGGCUCUAGUUCGAAUCUUUUUCCUAGUUUACUCUUUAAAAGUGAGGGUCGGGGGACGAGGGAUAUUUACCAACGAUAUCCGACAGUCACAACCCGGGAUCGAAUUCCGUAUUGCACACUUCUUUUUCUGAAUAAAAAAUUUCUUCAAUGGCCAGCGCUUCAUGCAAAAGUCAAACCCAACAAGUUAGUGCAAGUAACCAAACUAUGACACACUUUUAAGUGCAAAACUCGAACUGCGCUUUCUCCAUGUGUAGGUAAGUGGCUGCACUUGUAGUAAAAGCAAUCGAUAACUUCUAUCCACCAGGAUUACCAUGGCCUGUACCACGUGUACUAAGGAUAUUAUUAAUAAGAAGAUUUUUUUUCGAAGUAUUUCUAUUGUCGCGUUGUACUAUUUUAGUACGAGAAGAAUAAAGAUUAUUUUUAGUAAUUAAUUUGAAAGUAAGGAGUUUUAGUAGAAGUUAAAAUAUACACUCAUGGACAAAACUUAAGGAAAUUUGUACCUUUUAGCAUGUAUAUCGGGAUUCAGAUAAUAAAUCUGAAAGAUAUUACAGUGACCUUUAUUGAAGACACACGAGAUAACCAAGUGUGAACAAAAUUUCCUUUGUCUCUUUCAAAAAAUAGACUAUCGGCUAGACUCUCUACUUCCUUAAGUUUUGUCCAUUAAGACGCUAUCUAGAGACUGCUACUAACGAUGCGGUCUGUGUGGUUACAGCGGCCGUUCAGGACACACCUCUUCCCUCCAAGACUAUACCUGUCCUCCCCGCUCCCUGAGACCUUAAUCUGUGGUACAAUCAACACACAGGUUGGCGUCUCGGGGCCUGGGAAUGGACUGCCAACGUCAGACCGGGAAGCCUUUGCUCGGCAUCCAUGCAUGUUCGGCGCAUUCUUUGGCUGGUUGCAGAAUGUUGGAAACGUAUUUGUUGCAUGCUGUAUAUAUAUGUGUUAAUUAUAAGCCAAUAAAACCCUAUCUAUAUACAAGAAAUGAAAUCAUUGAAGCACGAAAGUUUCUUUUAAACAUAAAACAAACCUCUACUAUCCUUACUGCGAUGAAAAAUAUAUUGGGAGGGUUUGGGUCAUCAGUGGUGAAACCACCCAGCGGUCUCCCCAAUAUAAUCUACCAGACCGCUUCUUUAGAGUUCUAAUACUAUAUUGUACGAUUCUGCUUAUAUAUGUUACACUACCCACUGCCAAGCCUUCUCAAUACAUUUUCAUUCCAAUAAGGAUAAUAGAGGUUUGUUUUAUCUAUAAAAGAAGCAUUCGUGCUUAAAUUCCUUCAUUUCUUGUACAUAUAUGUAUGUAAAGAGGAAUGUCUUCCUUUAUAUAUGCAUUAAAAUUAUGCAAAUUUAAAGGAAGUGAUGACUCUUUGAUAUAUAUGGUUAUCAUAUUGUCUCAACUUAUUGUUGUAUAUAUAUAAAUGCAUGUAUAUAUGUAAAUAUAUAGUAGAUUGUUGGGAAGUAUGCAUAUUGUAGAUGCAUGCUAGCUUGUUACAAAAUAUUGAAUAGGAAACAUAAAAAAAGGUAACAAGACUAAAUCAAUAGAUUGUUCGUGGUAAAAGCGUUGGUACCACGUAUAAUUUAUUAAUUUAGUCUUGUUAUAUUUUAUGUGUUUCUAAUCUAAUAUCCAAAUUGUACAUUAUUAAAUCGAUCGUAUGUAUAUUGUUGUGUUGUUGCAUGCUGUAUAUACUCGUAUGUAGCUAAGUUGUGAAGUUAUAUGUAUUGUAGCUGUGUGCUAGCAUGUUACGGAAUAUUGGAUAUGUAUUGUUGCAUGCUGCAUAUAUAACUGGAAGCAUAUAAGAGUAUUUAAAUAUGUAUAUUAACACAAAGCAAUAGCGCGCCAUCUAUACAUAUAAAAUGAAAGGAUUUAAAAGCACGAAUGUUUCUUUUAUACAUAAUACAAACUUCUACUGCCCUUACUGCGAUGAAAAAUAUAUUGGGAGGGCUUGGCUCAUCAGUGGUGAACCCUCCCAGCGGUUUCGCCAAUUUAAUCCACCAGACCGCUUCUCAGAACUCAUAUACUGUAUUGGACGAUUCUGCUUAUAUACGCAGCACUGAAGGAUGGAAUCUCAGAAAUGGUUUUCAAGAGAACUAUGGACAUAAGCUUAUAGGACAGGAAAAUUACAUUCAAAUAUUUGCAUCGAGCAAUGCUCUUCCGCAAACAAUAAAGACAAGGCCAGUUAGGCAUUAAAAUAUACAAGUAUCAGAGUCAUCAACAAUCAAUCAAUUCUGUCACCGUUUGCUUUUGUGAAUGGAAUAAAUACCCAAAUAGGGCCAUUUCUUAAAAGCAUCGGAGGUUCAGUGGUAGAAUGCUCGCCUGCCACGCGGGCGGCCCGGGUUCGAUUCCCGGCCGAUGCAUUUUAUUUUUUUUACAAAUUUUAAAACUCAUUUAUAUUAUUAUUAUUAUUAAAAUAUACAAGUAUCAGAGGCAUC
rnacentral:piRNA from 1 species